rnacentral:tmRNA from 1 species
GGGGACGAUUGGUUUCGACGGGGAGAUUUCUGAGGUAAGAGGAGCGUGCCGUGGAGCUUGUCCACGCAAAAACAGGCAACCGAGAACCGCGACUGCUUAAACGGUUUCGCCGGGCAAUUGGCUCGGCCGUCUAAAGCAUGUGCGUCUCAAGCAUGUGAUUACGGCGUCAACCCAUUGAGGCUUUGCUAACCGGAGUGUUGUGGUUACCGGUAAAGCGAGACAAAUCACAAUCUGCCGGCUGGGAGCAUAAAAUCCCGGCACAGGUGUCUUGACCUGCAAUCAAGACUACGCACGUAGCGCUUCCCCAAAGGCUUUCCGGACCCGAGUUCGAUUCUCGGCGUCUCCACCA